AUCCACCUUUUAUAGAUGAGAAAACCAUGGAACUUCAUGACCCUUGGGAAAAGUACUCAAGUGACCCGCUUAGAGAAGGCGAUUCUGCUUCGGUUGCCACCUUAUCUAACAGUGGUUUUUAUCCCAGAUGAUCUCCUGAAACUGAUAAAAAAAAUAUCCAUCUCAAGCAUCAUAUCACCCUAAUUGAGUUGCUAUUUACAUGAUCAGAAAGAGAAAUCAGAAAUACUUGUUUACGCGUGGUUUUUCUAAGGUCACUAGAAAAUAUAUAUAGGAUGCUAGUUCAAACUUACUGUGAUAUUUAUGGAAUCUAAAUGUUCAAUUUCAUGUGUGUGAAUUUGUGUAAGACUGAAAUGUUGGGGUAAAUGAUGAAUGCCGAUUUGCUCGCUAAGUAUUGAUUCGCGGCCAUCCAUAUUUUGAUGAUGACAGAAAAACGAAUUAUUAAGAGGAUAAAUGAAAUGACUUUUGGAUUUUUAAACAUCACAUAUACAAAAUAAGAGAAAAUAAAUAACUUGGUGGAAGAGAUGAUGGAACCGGAGAAAGAUGGCCGAGACACCGUACCGCGGCACAUGCUGAGCUGGCCUACUAGGAGGGCCCCUACUGAUCUGCGCUCUACCUCCAGAUGAGGUACCUGUAAAACCUCUCUACCCUGGCUGGGAACAAGCUCAAUCCUCAUAUUGCCUGCUGAAAAUCUAUCCAUGGGAAGAAAAACAAAUCUGUGACCAUUAAUGUGACAGGGUUCAAGGAAUUCCAAGGUGUUGCUCAGAAGACAAUCGCCAACAGUUUAAAAGAUGAUGUUUUAUACUUGAAUACCACGCAACACGGGG
rnacentral:lncRNA from 1 species